rnacentral:rRNA from 1 species
CAGUCGCCGCGGUAAUACGAAGGUCCCGAGCGUUGUUCGGAAUCACUGGGCGUAAAGGGAGCGUAGGCGGCGUGGUAAGUCAGAUUUGAAAUCCCGGGGCUCAACCCCGGAACUGCAUCCGAUACUGCCGUGCUAGAGGAUUGGAGAGGUAGCUGGAAUUCUUGGUGUAGCAGUGAAAUGCGUGGAGAUCAAGAGGAACACUCGUGGCGAAAGCGAGCUACUGGACAAUAUCUGACGCAGAGGCUCGAAGGCCAGGGUAGCGAAAGGGAUUAGAGACCCCCGUAGUCCCUGUCUCUUAUAC